UAUCACCGUUAUCUGUUCUGCCGGUGUGAUCUAUAGUGCCCGUAAGGUAAUUAACCUACGAAAUACAAGCCUUGAGUUGGAAGAAAAGUCCGCGGAAAUUUCGCAAACAAAAGAAGUAAUAUACAGAGAUGUGUUUUUCUUCCUGCAUGUGACAUAUCUGACUAAAUUUCUUAAGAAAGCCAAUGUUCUUCCUUUCGCAUGCUGGAGUCUCUGUAGAGAUAAACAUGUGAAGUUCUGUAAUGAGUAUCCAAAAGCAGAUCCUAGCAUUCAGUGCCACGGGUCAGCUUAUGACCAUUUGCUGAUUGUGGCAUAGGUUUCAACAGCUUUCAUCCUUGCCUUACGUGUUUCUUUUUUUGUCGUCCUUUGUAGGCACCACAGAAUAAAGAGAUCCAUCAAUGAUGGCGACAUUAGCACUGGAGAGGAAAUUGUCACAGGAUUACGAUUCCUUUUCGAAAAUUACAAGCCUCAUUCUUGCAGGCCUUUUAUUGGUUGGGCUUGGGUCAGAGCUGUUCAAUACCUGAUGUUUUUGCAUCAAGACUUAAAUGGGUGGCGCAAAAAUCCGCAAUGGUCAUUUGCUUGCUAUCUGGCAUUACUUCUUCCACUAAAGUACUUACAAGAGGAAAUUCGCGGUAUGGUUGGUACGAGCCUACCUAAAGCUCAGCUUGAUACUGGAAUGAUGGAGAAACCGUCCGUUGCCGCUUGCGCGGAGGACACGGUAGCCCUGAGUUUUGAUCUAUCCCGGAAGAACGGUGUACUGAGGGAUGAUAAAAACAGCGCGGAAUCGAAUAAGGAAAACCAAGAAGUCAUCAUGCAUAGCGACGAGAAAUACCAUCGCACACAAACAGAGAUAUGCAUGUGGAGUACACCUCAUUUUAAUGAUCACUAAAAGGAAACCAACGGAUUUCAACCUCUUACACUCGGAUGCUUCUUGUUAAAAGAGACACCAGCAGCGAUCAUUUCAUCAGAAGGAAAAAGAGGAUUUCAACCAAUGAGGCACGAGAAAGCUAAGAAAGGAUUUCGGAUUGUUAUCAUGAUAAUCUUUACGACAAACGAUUGCGGAACCAUGACCAUGUACUUUGUAUGUCCCUGUCUAUAAGAAAUGCUCUUACUUGUUUGAAUCGCUACGUGAUAAACACGUGAGCCUUUCUACGGUAACGCUAAAAUACCCCGUGCCCACACUUUUCGCGCGCCUGCUAUAUACCUUUUGCCAGUGAUGUGCUUGAUGGUUUUUGGUCGAACAGAAAAAAAUACCUUCAAAUUUUGUAGAUAUCGACAACGGUCGCAUGCUAAAAGUAGUUCAACAUUUGCAUUUUUUAAAAAAGUUUGAAAUUUGUAAAAAAUUUAUAUGAUAGGUGCUUUUGUAAGAGUUCUACGCUUGCGCAUGGAAAGACUAUAAUUUCCUCUUUAACCAAUAUCUUUUUCUUGGCACAAGGUAAUUUUAUUUCCACAGCCUUUUUUAAUAAGCUACUAUAACCUCAAUAAAGUAAUGAUAAUAAUAGUAAUAAUAAUAUUGGUUUAUUAAUAGCAUUUCCAUGGGUAAAAUGGCUCUUCACUUGUUAUACAAAUGUUGUAGAGCAUUUUCAAGGUUUAAAUUUCAAGUAU
rnacentral:lncRNA from 1 species